UGGGAGGCCAAGGCGGGAAAAGAGGAAAGAACAAGGCUGACCAUCAAGGCUGGACAUCCCUUUCAGUUCUUUUGAGAACAGACUAGUUGGCUAGAUGUGAAGAAAACAAGCUUUGGAGUAAUCUUCCCUCUGCACAGCCUGUGAUAUUGGGAUCCAGUGAGUGACGGUGAGAGGUGGAGAUGUAUGAACGAGACCUGAGACGUUGGACCUGAACAUCACAGC
rnacentral:lncRNA from 1 species